UGGGGAAUAUUGGACAAUGGGGGCAACCCUGAUCCAGCCAUGCCGCGUGAGUGAUGAAGGCCUUCGGGUUGUAAAGCUCUUUUGUCAGGGAAGAUGAUGACGGUACCUGAAGAAUAAGCCCCGGCUAACUUCGUGCCAGCAGCCGCGGUAAUACGAAGGGGGCUAGCGUUGUUCGGAAUUACUGGGCGUAAAGGGUGUGUAGGUGGUUCGGCAAGUCAGAAGUGAAAUCCCUGGGCUCAACCCAGGAAUUGCUUUUGAGACUGUCGGACUUGAGUACAGGAGAGGUGAGUGGAAUUCCCAGUGUAGAGGUAAAAUUCGUAGAUAUUGGGAGGAACACCAGUGGCGAAGGCGGCUCACUGGCCUGUAACUGACACUGAGACACGAAAGCGUGGGGAGCAAACAGGAUUAGAUACCCCGGUAGUCC
rnacentral:rRNA from 1 species